AGAGCAGGACAGACGGUCGCUCCCUUCGGGGAGAGGAAAGUCCGAGCUCCACAGGGUACGGUGCCUGUCGCAAGGCAGGAGGGAGUGAUCCCAUGGAAAGUGCCACAGAAAAGACACAGCCGAUGGCCCGAAUAUCUGAAGGCACAGGCAAAGGUGAAAAGGUGCGGUAAGAGCGCACCAGAUUCAGCGGUAACGCUGGGUCUUGGUAAACCCCUCCGGGAGCAAGGCCAAACAGUAGGGAGAAGUGACCCGCUUCGCUAUCACCCUGGGUAGGCCGCGCAGAUAGAUGACCGUCGAAUACAGAACUCGGCUUAUGUCUUGCUCUGCAU
rnacentral:RNase_P_RNA from 1 species